AUCAUUUGAGAACGAAUCAUUCACGGCAUUCCGGAAAUUUUCACUCGUUAUCUAUUUCGCUCGAUCUUUUAUAUUUUGAAUUCUGAUUUGCUAUCGGCUGCAACGGACAUGAACGGUAACUGGCGAAACCUUUCCGCUAUGUUCCGGAAAUAUAUACGGAACUCUACGAAGUUUUGCAAAUUGUUCGCCAUCUUGAAUACCAUUUUUCAUCGAUCGAGUAGAACAUUAAAACAAUGCAAUAGAAUAUAGUAAAGCAGAAGAUGGAGUUUGCCACUCCAAAAGAUGACAUUAAGGCAAUCGACAGCUCAGUCAGGAACAAAUGGCGAUGGGAUUGGAUAAAAGAUGAGCAAAUGGGGCAAUAUCUUCGGAAAACUAAGCUGCCAGGCUAGGGUGUGGGCCCUUCGCCCCUUUCAGGGACAUUCCACCUCAGACCCAUGCAUCUACAUGAAAUUUUAAAGAAAUAGAUUGUAAUAUUUUCUAGCCAAACUAACUGUUUUUUCAGUUUGGAAUCACUUAAAAAUACAGAUGUUUUUAAGCUCA